AAACCCUUUAACGAGGACCUAUGAGAGGGCAAGUCUGGUGCCAGCAGCCGCGGUAAUUCCAGCUCUCAAGGUGUAUAUCGCCAUUGCUGCGGUUAAAAAGCUCGUAGUUGGAUCUGCGCCUUCGGACUCGGUCCUCCCAACGGGUGCGAACUGAGCUCCAAGGCUACUACUGCUGGUUUUCCCUUGAUGCUCUUCACUGGGUGUCUUGGGUGGCUAGCGAGUUUACUUUGAAAAAAUUAGAGUGCUCAAAACAGGCUAUUGCCUGAAUACCGGUGCAUGGAAUAAUAGAAUAGGAUCUCGGUCCUAUUUUGUUGGUUUUCGGAACUGAGAUAAUGGUUAAGAGGGACAGACGGGGGCAUUCGUAUCGCUGCGUGAGAGGUGAAAUUCUUGGACCGCAGCGAGACGCCCAACUGCGAAAGCAUUUGCCAAGAAUGUCUUCGUUAAUCAAGAACGAAAGUCAGAGGUUCGAAGGCGAUCAGAUACCGCCCUAGUUCUGACCGUAAACGAUGCCAACUAGCGAUCCGCCGGUGGUAAUUACGCCCCGGCGGGGAGCUUCCCGGAAACGAAAGUCUUCCGGUUCCGGGGGAAGUAUGGUUGCAAAGCUGAAACUUAAAGGAAUUGACGGAAGGGCACCACCAGGAGUGGAGCUUGCGGCUUAAUUUGACCCAACACGGGAAAACUCACCCGGCCCGGACACCGUAAGGAUUGACAGAUUGAGAGCUCUUUCUUGAUUCGGUGGUUGGUGGUGCAUGGCCGUUCUUAGUUGGUGGAGCGAUUUGUCUGGUUUAUUCCGAUAACGAACGAGACUCUGGCCUACUAACUAGUGACAGAAUUAUUGCUGUUCUGGUUACUUCUUAGAGGGACAAGUGGUGUUCAGCCACACGAAAUUGAGCAAUAACAGGUCUGUGAUGCCCUUUGAUGUCCGGGGCUGCACGCGUGCUACACUGGAGGAAACAGCAUGCAAAACCAUUGCCGAGAGGCAUUGGUAAACCCGAGAAAAUCUUCCGUGAUCGGGAUCGGGAAUUGCAAUUAUUUCCCUUGAACGAGGAAUUCCCAGUAAGUGUGGGUCAUCAGCUCGCGCUGAUUACGUCCCUGCCCUUUGUACACACCGCCCGUCGCUGCCCGGGACUGAGCCGUUUCGAGAAAAGCGGGGACUGCUGCUGUUGGGGCUUUCGGGCCUUGGCUUCGGUGGAAACCGCUU
rnacentral:rRNA from 1 species